GUUGCAUCAACUUCAACAUCACAACAACAUGCUGAAAAUCAGAGCGAUAAUACUGAUGAAGUUGCGGCAACUGAACCUACCGUACAUACUCAUUCUGACUCUUGUACAACACAAUCAGCAGCUGGUUCAGCCGAGCAACACCAUGCUGAAAAUCAAAGUGAUGACAUUGAGAUGGAAAGACUUACAGUUUCUACAGCACAAUCAGCAGCUAAUUCAACAGAGCAGUAUGUAUAUCAAUAUCGAUGAAUGUUUUCGUAUAAGUUUAUAAAUAAUUAA
rnacentral:lncRNA from 1 species